GUGGAAUGUCUUAAUCAGGACCAGGUCUCCAGGCCUCAGGUUGUUCUUGGAGUUGACUUCUAGGUGACUCUGUCGGACCUCCCAGAGUCACCUGGCGUCGAGCAAGACUAUAACCCAACGGCCAGAUGCGAAUGUCACACACCGGGACUUUCAGCCACCAGGCCUAGGUGCGGCUGUGCGGCAGGCUUAACUCGACGUCAGGCUGUUCCCGGAGAUCCGCCAGUCACUGCAAAGAAAGAU